CAUCAACUUAAUUAAUUGCUUCAUCUUCUAAAUCAUAUUUUAAUAUAUAAUAAUAAUUUGAAUUUUUUGAUACUCUUUCUGUAGGCAGCUGCGGCUUUCCUUGGAGGUUCCAUUCCUGAGGAGGCUGCUGCAGAUUAUAAGAGUUUCAAAAAACCAAACAAAUAUGGCAUUGAUUUCUAAGAAGAUGGGGUUGUUUUUUAUUGCAACAUUGGCUGUUGUUAUAGCCGCCGUUACCGGUGUCGCUCAUGCUAAUGAUUUGCCUCCUGCCCACGCUCCCGCCACCAACGGGGCAACAAUUGAUCAAGGGGUUGCAUGCGCGCUGAUGCUGUUGGCAUUGGUACUCACAUAUAUCAUCCAUACAGCCGAUGUCCCUCUCUAUUAAUUCUUUUUUUCCUUUUCUUUUUGAUACAUAAUUUAUUAAUAAUGUUUCUUUAUCCCUAGCUAGGGCUAGAAAGUACCAUGAAAUGAGAUGGAUACCUUUUUGUUGGCUGUGCCUUUUA